rnacentral:lncRNA from 1 species
CCUGAGUGCUUGCCUCUCCAACGCUCUAGAGCAAGGUUCUUCGAUGAACCUCGCCCUCGCCUCACUACCAAUAAAGACAGGCUUGAAACAAUAAUAAAUAAAUCAUUAGUAUAAUAGCUAUCCAAAUAAAGAAAUCAAAUUUUAUUAUAUAAAAAGUAUAAUAAUAUCACUUGAAUCCAUCUUACUGGGACCCGCCUCACUGGGACCUGCCAGUGCAGGACUCUCUGGCAAUGGAGCCGGUGCGACAAUGG